ensembl:processed_transcript 8430429K09Rik RIKEN cDNA 8430429K09 gene
AAGUUCCGCCCCGGGACAGGAAGGGGAGGGCGUCUGGUCUUUCCGUAGGGUUUCCUAGCGCUGGAAGGAGGGAAGGCAGCUCGGUGGAUGGGCGAGCUCGCCUCGCCCGCGUGAGGACGUGGGAAUAAAUAUGUGCGUACCCGCCAGCUAAUCAUAGCAUUCAUUCGGGUGAUGGGUCAGAAUUUCAAUGUCGUUUUCGAAGCAGGCUUGGGAUACAUGGGACCGUGUCGCAAAAAUAAUGGGCGGAUGAAAAAGCCAGUUCUAGAAAUACCAGUUUGGAAUGCCUUGUACAAGAAAGUAAGGGAGGGCAGGGUAGAAGAGAACAGCUCACCACCUUCCAGCAGCCAGGAACCAGCAAGAGAAUCCAUGAGUUUUUAGUGACAUAGAGAAGCAAACAAAGGGGCCAGGGAAAUGGCUCAUCAAUGGUGACUUCAGUCUUCAGUGGCUCUUGCUUGUAGUGCUAGGACUAGGGAAAGCAGAGAAAGGCUGAUCCCCGAGUCUGCUGG